GACGAACGCUGGCGGUGUGCUUAACACAUGCAAGUCGAACGGAAAGGCCCUGCUUUCGUGGGGUGCUCGAGUGGCGAACGGGUGAGUAACACGAGAGUAACCUGCUCUUGACUUUGGGAUAACUUCAGGAAACUGGGGCUAAUAUCGGACAGGAGCUCCCGUUGCAUGGUGGGGGUUGGAAAGUCUCGGCGGUCGGGGAUGGAUUCGCGGCUUAACAGCUUGUUGGUGGGGUAGUGGCUUACCAAGGCUUUGACGGGUAGCCGGCCUGGGAGGGUGGACGGCCACAUUGGGACUACGGGACGGCCCAGUGUCCUACGGGGGACAGAAGUGGGAAAUAUUGCACAAUGGGCGGGAGCCUGUUACGGCGGCGCCGCGGGCGGGAUGACGGCCUUCGGGGUGUGAACCGCUUUAGCCUGUGACGAAGCGUGAGUGACGGUAAUGAAUAAAGAAGCACCGGCUAACUACGUG
rnacentral:rRNA from 1 species